rnacentral:rRNA from 1 species
AUUGAACGCUGGCGGCAGGCCUAACACAUGCAAGUCGAGCGGGGUUUUCGGACCUAGCGGCGGACGGGUGAGUAAUGCGUAGGAAGCUGCCCGAUAGAGGGGGAUACCAGUUGGAAACGACUGUUAAUACCGCAUAAUGUCUACGGACCAAAGUGUGGGACCUUCGGGCCACAUGCUAUCGGAUGCGCCUACGUGGGAUUAGCUAGUUGGUGAGGUAAUGGCUCACCAAGGCGACGAUCUCUAGCUGGUUUGAGAGGAUGAUCAGCCACACUGGAACUGAGACACGGGCCAGACUCCUACGGGAGGCAGCAGUGGGGAAUAUUGGACAAUGGGCGCAAGCCUGAUCCAGCCAUGCCGCGUGUGUGAAGAAGGCCUUCGGGUUGUAAAGCACUUUCAGUAGGGAGGAAGCGUUGUGUGUUAAUAGUACACAGCGUUGACGUUACCUACAGAAGAAGCACCGGCUAACUCUGUGCCAGCCGCCGCCGUAAGAC